UCUUGCUUAAUGCUCAUACUAGUCUUUUACCUUUAACAAAUAAAUCAGUAUGAGUUUCCUUUUGAAUGGAUUUGGUUGUAUAAAACUAUGCUUUAUGAAUUGAACUAGACAGUUCAACCGGUUGAACUGUAAACCGGCACUGUCUAUGGUUCAUUGAACGGUUCGACUGUGGUUUUGCCAGUUCAAUGUUUAAAACAUUGGUAUAAAAACUUAAUAGUUUAAAGUAUUUGAUGCGGAUUUUUAAGUUCGAUUGAAUUCUAUCGAUUACUCCACAUAAUUUGUUACAUGUUUAAGGGCAUGUAACUUAAUUAACCGCCUGUUUGAUAAACUAUUGUAUAGAUGAUUUCAUCUAUUACUUUUGGCCUCUAGUAUUCAACUUCAUCUUGAACUUUUGAGAUAUAUUUCAAUUAUUUUUGUUAGGAAAUAUAAUUUAUAAGCUUAAUUAAUGUGAUUAUUCUUAUUAUUAUUCUUUAAAGUGACAAAAUUUCAAUACACAGCUCAUGUGUGAACAAGAAGAUCGUAAGGUUGCUUAAUUAUACCAGAUAAUAAUCUUUUCAUCUGUAUAAGGUCCUCAAGCCUUUCAUUAUUUGAGACAACCUGAAUAGUUCAUUAUGAUUAUCAACAUUUUGUGGAAAAGGCUUGGAAGCAAAAUAAAUGCAUGCCUAUUUUUGCCUUCAGCAAAGUCAGAAAACUACAAUGAUUUUAACCAUGAAGUUUUGGGAAACACAUUUAAGAAAGCUAACUAUGGAGAUUUGCAUCAAUGGCAUUCAGAAAUUUCUAAGUGUGGAAGGUUUCCCUUUGGGGUGCCAACCUAGUUGGGGUGUCAAGCUAUCCCCUGAUGCCUUCCUUUGCUUUUGAUUCAUCAAAAAAAUAAAAAAAAAACUUGUUGAAGAGGGCAAAAUAAAAUACAUUGGUUUGUCUGAAGCCUCAGCUUCAACAAUCAGAAGAGCACAUGCAGUUCAUCCAAUAACAGCUGUGCAGUUGGAGUGGUCACUGUGGUCAAGAGAUGUUGAGGAAGACGUAAUUCCAACUUGCAGGUGUGAUAUUUAGUUUACAAAUAUUAUGUUUUGUUCUCUAGUAUCUCUCUCUCACUCACUCUGAUACUUGCUACAAUUGCAAUGAUACAAAGCUAUGAAGCACUGAUACAUGCAUGCAUUAAACACGACAUUGACACACAGAUACCUGUGAUAAUUUAAGAAAAUGCAAGUGAAUAAAUGUAACUACAUAUGUCUGUGAUGUGUCAGUGUCGGACACCAAAACACGUUUUCAAUUUGAAUUGUUGGUGCUACAUAGAUAUGAAGUCUAACUUCAUGAGUUAUGAUUUUCUUUCUUAGGGAACUUGGUAUUGGAAUUGUUGCGUAUAGUCCUCUUGGGCGAGGAUUCUUUUCAUCAGGAACAAAGUUGCUUGACAACUUGCAACAGGAUGACUACAGGAAGGUUUGUGGAAAGAUACGUUUACAGAAGUUCCUGAGAAUUACUUAUUCAUUUUGUUAAUCAACUCACCUAACAGUGAUUCGCAACCAUGGAUUAUUUGAGGGUCCUUUAAUCUCAUACAUCAAUGAUAUCUUCGUUUUUAAAUUAUUUGUGCUCAUUUUCUGGAAUGAUAUUUUCUUUUAGCCCACCUUUUUUCUUCCAUAAAACAGUUUGGGAAUAGGUGUAACAGUAAUGGAUAACACUGUAAAUUGCUAGUGAACAUAAUUCAGAACUCUAAUAUAAACAAGACCAUGUAGUCAAUGUGUAUUGAAUACUUUGCCUUCUACCCUAAUUAACCUCUUAGUCUCGGUCGAUAUCUGAACCGUGAGGAGAUAUUCGAUGACAAACAAAAUGUUUAAAAAUAAAUAAAUAAUGGGCAUGAUUCAUUAGUAAAAACACUGGUUUAAAAAGAAGGAAAAUAUGAUGUGGUUUUCAUCUUUUCAUUCAUUAGGAUCUUUUGUUCCAUGCAUGCAUAUUGUAGAAAUUUGUGACCUAACUUAUCCUUACAAACCCAGCUUGUAAGGUGAAGAGUGCCUCCUCGUUAUAAACUCUUAUCAAGAGUCCUAUCUAACCGAUGUGGAACUAAAUCCACCCCCUCAAAGCCAACAUAAGGCAAGCCAGCACGAGGCAACUCAAAUGUCGCAAUUAGGCGACUAGGGGCGGAAUUUCAACACAUAUAACAAGUUAUUUAUGGUAACUCAACACAAAUAUUAUGGAACGAGAGUUUUAUAUGAUCAAACUGCAUUUGCCAUAUUCUGUCUUUUAAACAUGUGUAAAUAUGUUGCAGCAUUUGCCUAGAUUUCAACCUGAAAACCUGCAGCAGAAUCAGACUAUAUUUGAUAAGGUUAAUGAACUGGCUGUAAAGAAGGGAUGUACUCCAUCUCAGCUUGCACUAGCCUGGCUUCAUCACCAAGGAAACGACGUGUGCCCGAUACCUGGAACCACCAAAAUUGAGAACUUUAAUCAAAACAUUGGAGCUUUGUCUGUGAAACUAACACCAGAAGAAUAGCAGAACUUGAGUCUUUAGCAGAUGCUGUUAAGGGUGGUAGAUAUAGGGAAGAUAUAAGUACAUGGAAGAAUUCUGAUACUCUGCCACUCUCUUCUUGGAAAGCUGUGUAAUUAAGUGCUUUGCUUGCUUAAUGCUCAUACUAGUCUUUUACCUUGAAC
rnacentral:lncRNA from 1 species